CAGAUAUCAAUUCAAGAUUUGCUUCCAAAGGACCAAUACAUAAAUUACUUAAUAACAUAACAAUGAGUUUUGACAGUCUUCUGACAUUGACCAGCGAAGAGAUCUCUCUGAUAUAUCCACUGUUUUUGUUGAACCUAUACUGCCCAAGAUCUUUAUAUGAUUUGACUUUGGAGCCUUCAAAGACCUCUAUGGUAUAAGGUUCCGUGUAUUUUAAGGGUUAAUCUAACUGAUGUGGAUCUGAUAGAAUUUUUUUAACAGCAAGAACCGGAGGAGAUGAAGCCGAAGGCUGCCAAUGGAAUUCUGGAAGAUUGUGCUUUUAUACGCUUUUUUUUUCCUUUAUACGUUAUCUUUAGACAAACUACUGUUAUUCACUUCUUAUAUUAGUUUUCCAUUUCAAUUUCCCCUUACAGCAACAACAAAGAUGAAGACAAAUGUAUAGUUGCUUAUACUUCAAGCCACUCUAUUUGAUCAUUGCUAUGUGGAAUUCAUUCAGCGCCAAGUUUUAAGAUUUGCUUGUUGCAUGAAUUGCCUAAUUCACUGCUGAUUUCAGAAUUGAAUAUGAUAUUUGAAAAAUAAAAGAAUUUUGAUACAUUUUCCUUCUUAAGCAACAGGAGAACCGUCUUAGUCGUGCAAGCUUGAGUUUUUAUCCAACAAUUAGUUGAAUUUAUAGUUACGUGAUUUUUCUUUAAGAAUUAUUUUUGCAUGUUUGAGUUAUACAAUUCCUGAAUUUCUAUAAUUUAUUUUUUACAUUUUAA